ensembl:snoRNA
AUGCCAGUAAAUUAUGUCUGCUUAACUUGAACAUGUUCUGCAGAAAUCAUUAAGAUGGUACUGGCAAUAACAAAGCCAUGGUACGAGCCUUAAAGACUAGGUAGUCUUUGAGGUCCCUGAAAAUGGCUACACGU